rnacentral:rRNA from 1 species
GACGAACGCUGGCGGCGUGCCUAAUACAUGCAAGUCGAACGAGAGCACCCGGUGCUUGCACUGGUCAAUCUAGUGGCGAACGGGUGAGUAACACGUGGGUAACCUGCCCAUCAGAGGGGGAUAACAUCCGGAAACGGAUGCUAAAACCGCAUAGGUCUUCGAACCGCAUGGUUUGAAGAGGAAAAGAGGCGCAAGCUUCUGCUGAUGGAUGUACCCGCGGUGCAUUAGCUAGUUGGUGAGGUAACGGCUCACCAAGGCCGUGAUGCAUAGCCGACCUGAGAGGGUGAUCGGCCACAUUGGGACUGAGACACGGCCCAAACUCCUACGGGAGGCAGCAGUAGGGAAUCUUCCGCAAUGGACGCAAGUCUGACGGAGCAACGCCGCGUGAGUGAAGAAGGUGUUCGGAUCGUAAAACUCUGUUGUUAGAGAAGAACAAGUGCUAGAGUAACUGUUAGCGCCUUGACGGUAUCUAACCAGAAAGCCACGGCUAACUACGUG